GGGUCAGUAGGUUGGUCGUGCCACCGGUACGUACUGGUCUCACUGAUUCCUCCUUCCUGAAGAACCGUAAUGCCAUUAAUUUGGCGUUGCGGGGAAACAGGACUGUUACUUUGAAAAAAUUAGAGUGUUUAAAGCAAGCUAACGCUCGAAUACAUUAUCAUGGAAUAAUGAAAUAGGACGAUCGAUCCUAUUUUGUUGGUUUCUAGGAUUGACGUA
rnacentral:rRNA from 1 species